UACGAAGGGGGCUAGCGUUGCUCGGAAUUACUGGGCGUAAAGCGCACGUAGGCGGCUUUGUAAGUCAGAGGUGAAAGCCUGGAGCUUAACUCCAGAACUGCCUUUGAGACUGCAUCGCUUGAAUCCAGGAGAGGUGAGUGGAAUUCCGAGUGUAGAGGUGAAAUUCGUAGAUAUUCGGAAGAACACCAGUGGCGAAGGCGGCUCACUGGACUGGUAUUGACGCUGAGGUGCGAGAGCGUGGGGAGCAAACAGG
rnacentral:rRNA from 1 species